AAUGACACCCUCAUUCAAUACCUUCUUCUGGCAUUUUUUCAUGGUUUCUAGCUCGUCAGCGAUGUGCCUUUAAAAUAAUGUUCGACCAUGUCACGGUGUCAGUUGUCUUGAAUCAAAACUGAAAGUUGGACGCUAGCUUUUGAAAGAUGUGAAGGACAUACUUAUAUGAAUUACCUACAGUCAUCAAUUAUUAUCAUGCUCGCAUGCAUAUCUAAUACGGAAAUAUACAGACUUGUUAUUGCACAAUAUAAAUGAAAGUUGGCCAAAACAUUAAUUGACAGUUUUACAUUGGAUACCGGUUCGGACGUCCAUUCACGUGUGGCAAGAACUGGCAACAGUCAUUUUCCAUUCGUAUACAUCACUUGUUUGCAAGAGUUUUAGCUUGUUCCUACGGUACUGUAAACAUUCUCUUUUAAUCCGAAUUCAACAUGGACGAAGAAGGAGCGAAAAUUGUUCUUUUAGGGGAGUUGAACGUUGGGAAAUCAAGCAUCGCCGGCAGAUUACAAAGAGACCAAUUCAAUGAUAAAUAUCAAGCAACUAUAGGUGCAACGUUUACGACCAAACACAUGGUUGAUGGUAAUCGAGAAUACACAUUUUUAGUUUGGGACACUGCAGGAAAA